AUGACACAACUUUUUACUUCCUGUUGGAUUCUUCAAACUGUGACACACAACAGGCGCUCGGGCCGUAUGUAAUUAAAGUAAACUGGAUCAUGGACUGGUGAACUGGUUCGUCAGCUUUCUGCAGCACAACGUGUUAUUUGAUCAGAAGACUACUCUACGAUGUUGCCGAGAUAUUUUCUGUUAGUUGUGCUCGCACCUCUGCUGUACUUGAAGGUGUCUGGUGGCGAGAACAAUGACGGCAACACACAAAGUUCACCGUCAGAAGAGGGUGCAGAAUUCUGCACGAAGGGUGACUGUCCCCGCGGAAGCGCUGUGGUGCCAGGAGACGAGGAAACGCCCGAGCGGCGGCGGGGACGAGGGCACGGGCGCCCGUUCGGGUCUCACCGCGAGCCCGCCGGAGCCGUGACGGCCCUUCCCUACAUGAUCUCCCCGCAGGACUUCCACCAGCACUUCGUGGCGAAGCACAGACCACUGCUGUUUAAAGGUGGGGCAAAACACUGGCCCGCCCUCACGCUGUGGGAUGAAGAGUAUCUAAAGCAACAUUUCAACACACAACAGGACGGAAACCAGAACAAGGCCAAAGAACUGAAUCCUGACAUGAAGAAGGAUGUGAUGCUGCCCACGUGUCUGCGCUGUGAGGAGAUGUUCUCCCAGUCUUUCACCACUCAGCUCCAUACAGGCACUGGGGAGGACAGACUGCACAUAGACACACAGGAGAACCUGUUAGUAGUCCUGCGUGGGCCCCGGACGGUACUUCUGGUGUCACCGCUACAUUCUAACGACGUGUAUGCAGAUGAGGCAGAGGUGCUCGGAGUCUCUCCUGUGGAUGUCAACUCUGUGGAUAUGGACAAGUAUCCAAGAGUGGCCGAUGUGCAGUACCAGCAGGCAGAGCUGGAGGAAGGUGACCUGCUGUACGUCCCACAGCUGUGGUGGAGACAGGUCAGGCCUGACCCAGGCAGGCAGCAGGCUGUGAGCAUCAGAUGGAGCUCGAAGCCUGCCAGCAAACAGGCACAGGACACAAACAAACAGGCACAGGGCACAAAGGAACAGCCACAGGAGCAGAGUCUACUUUCACAGGAACUCAAAACUGCAGGAAACCCAGAUAGGAAGUAUUCCUACGGACAGUGGCUGGCUGCGCACGAGCUCUGGGUCCAGAAUGUCACAAGUGUGUGAUGUUUGGUGUUUUUUUGUGUAGGAAACCCAGAUAGGAAGUAUUCCUACGGACAGUGGCUGGCUGCGCACGAGCUCUGGGUCCAGAACGUGAGCAGCUCCAUUCCCAGGAUUACCUGCACCAGUCAGAACAGUCCCAUGAGCCUCUACAAGUUCGAGACCAUGAAGGAAGAUCUGGAAGAGUUCAAUGGACCUGACUACUCUGAGGAAGGUGAAAGGUGCGUAUUUGACGACAAGAACCCAAAGUGCCCGUGUUCCUACGCCCCGUGCAUGGAGGAUGACGCGACGCCGCGGUGCGUCCGUUACAUCCUGGACUACUGUCACGAGUUCGAGGAUAGGGGAUGCGUUAUCGAGCUUCCACAGCUGCUCAACAAACUCUACAAACGGGACUUUGAAAAACUGGCACAGAUUAAGUCAGACUAUGUUCCGUAGCACAGCUAGAUUCCAUGGGGCCUGCCCUGUGUUGCAACACCUCUAUGCGCCAACACGCUAUGUUCUGACUCCCAUAUGUUGGGGUUGGGCUAUGUUGGGAUUAGGGACAGGGUUAUAGGUUUAUUGUCAAUGUCUGUAGCUGCUAUGCAUCAGACUAUGAUGCCUGUAAAUGAUAGAUUCGGGUUAGGGGGUGUCAGAACAUAGUCGUAGGGGUAUUGAAACAUAAGAGUGUAACCACAGUCCAUCACGCUGACUUAAUUCUAUG